rnacentral:rRNA from 1 species
UACGGAGGGGGCUAGCGUUGUUCGGAAUCACUGGGCGUAAAGCGUGCGUAGGCGGUUACUCAAGUCAGAGGUGAAAGCCUGGAGCUCAACUCCAGAACUGCCUUUGAAACUAGGUAACUAGAAUCUGGGAGAGGUGAGUGGAAUUCCGAGUGUAGAGGUGAAAUUCGUAGAUAUUCGGAAGAACACCAGUGGCGAAGGCGGCUCACUGGACCAGAAUUGACGCUGAGGCACGAAAGCGUGGGGAGCAAACAGG